rnacentral:rRNA from 1 species
GACGAACGCUGGCGGCGUGCUUAACACAUGCAAGUCGAACGGAAAGGCCCCUUUGGGGGUGCUCGAGUGGCGAACGGGUGAGUAACAUGUGAGUAACCUGCCCUUGACUUCGGGAUAACUUCAGGAAACUGGGGCUAAUACCGGAUAGGAAUCCUUGCUGCAUGGUGGGGGUUGGUAAGCUUGGGCGGUUUUGGAUGGACUCGCGGCUUAUCAGCUUGUUGGUGGGGUAGUGGCUUACCAAGGCUUUGACGGGUAGCCGGCCUGAGAGGGCGACCGGCCACAUUGGGACUGAGAGACGGCCCAGACGCCUACGGGAGGCAGCAGGGGGGAAUAUUGCACAAUGGGCGGAAGCCGGAUGCAGCAACGCCGCGUGCGGGAUGACGGCCUUCGGGUUGUAGACCGCGUUCAGCAGGGGCGAAGCUUGUGGUGACGGUACCUGCAGAAGAAGCACCGGCUAACUACGUG